rnacentral:rRNA from 1 species
AACGUAGGACGCAAGCGUUUAUCCGGAAUUAUUGGGCGUAAAGAGCUCGUAGGCGGCUUGUCACGUCGGAUGUGAAAGCCCGAGGCUUAACCUCGGGUCUGCAUUCGAUACGGGCUAGCUAGAGUGUGGUAGGGGAGAUCGGAAUUCCUGGUGUAGCGGUGAAAUGCGCAGAUAUCAGGAGGAACACCGGUGGCGAAGGCGGAUCUCUGGGCCAUUACUGACGCUGAGGAGCGAAAGCGUGGGGAGCGAACAGG